ACUGCAAGCUCGAAAAAAAUUUGAUGACGUUCGCUUUGAUAUCAGGCAAGCUCUCACUCAAUUUUUCUCAAACAACCAAAGUGGAGUUGUACAGCAUUGUACCAACAAAAGGACGGUUCAAGUUCCGAGACCAGAAACUAAGUCUCGCAUUUUCACGGGAGGCCAACAUAGCAGCAUUAGUGCUUUUGAAUAUUGAAUACUGCUUCUACAUCAUGGACUAUCUCGUAAAUGAAAUGAGCAAAAAUGGAAACUUUGCUCAAUAAUUCUUAAUUCUAACUUAAUAAAAGUAUUGAUUACCUUAAA